ACUGCUCAGUAACACGUGGACAACCUGCCCUUAGGUUGGGUAUAAACCCGGGAAACUGGGUAUAAUACCCGAUAGGUCUCGAUUGCUGGAAUGCAUCGAGAUUUAAAGCUCCGGCGCCUAAGGAUGGGUCUGCGGCCUAUCAGGUAGUAGUGGGUGUAGCGUACCUACUAGCCUACGACGGGUACGGGUUGUGAGAGCAAGAGCCCGGAGAUGGAUUCUGAGACACGAAUCCAGGCCCUACGGGGUGCAGCAGGCGCGAAAACUUUACAAUGCUGGCAACAGCGAUAAGGGAACCUCGAGUGCCAGGUUACAAAUCUGGCUGUCGAGAUGCCUAAAAAGCAUUUCAUAGCAAGGGCCGGGCAAGACCGGUGCCAGCCGCCGCGGUAACACCGGCGGCCCGAGUGGUAACCGUUAUUAUUGGGUCUAAAGGGUCUGUAGCCGGCCGGAUAAGUCUCUUGAGAAAUCUGGCAGCUUAACUGUCAGGCUUUCAGGAGAUACUGUCUGGCUCGAGGCCGGGAGAGGUGAGAGGUACUUCAGGGGUAGGGGUGAAAUCUUGUAAUCCUUGAAGGACCACCAGUGGCGAAGGCGUCUCACCAGAACGGACCUGACGGCAAGGGACGAAAGCUAGGGGCACGAACCGGAUUAGAUACCCGGGUAGUCCUAGCCGUAAACGAUACUCGCUAGGUGUCGGCCACGGUGCGACCGUUGUCGGUGCCGUAGGGAAGCCGUGAAGCGAGCCACCUGGGAAGUACGGCCGCAAGGCUGAAACUUAAAGGAAUUGGCGGGGGAGCAC
rnacentral:rRNA from 1 species